AGCGAACGCUGGCGGCAGGCCAAACACAUGCAAGUCGAACGAAGUCUUCGGACUUAGUGGCGGACGGGUGGGUAACACGUGGGAACGUGCCUUUAGGUUCGGAAUAACUCAGGGAAACUUGUGCUAAUACAGAAUGUGCCCUUCGGGGGAAAGAUUUAUCGCCUUUAGAGCGGCCCGCGUCUGAUUAGCUAGUUGGUGAGGUAAAGGCUCACCAAGGCGACGAUCAGUAGCUGGUCUGAGAGGAUGAUCAGCCACAUUGGGACUGAGACACGGCCCAAACUCCUACGGGAGGCAGCAGUGGGGAACUUUGCGCAAUGGGCGAAAGCCUGACGCAGCCAUGCCGCGUGAAUGAUGAAGGUCUUAGGAUUGUAAAAUUCUUUCACCGGGGACGAUAAUGACGGUACCCGGAGAAGAAGCCCCGGCUAACUUCGUGCCAGCAGCCGCUGUAACAC
rnacentral:rRNA from 1 species